AGCCACAAGAUGCAGUGAUUUGGCAGAAGAAAAUGCAGAUGAAAUGGUGCAAACUCCACUUUCAAUUGAAGUCACCUGGCUUUUGCCACCCCUUUGAGCACAUAAUUUCCAGUGAAUCACAAUUUACCCACAAUGACAGUUUGAUGUUCCUGGCUGACAUUCAACUAAAUAUCAGCUAUAGAAGGUGGCUUUUUCAGGAAAUGGUGUUACAGGUGCAAUGUUGGAACCCCUUGCAAGUGGUACCUCCUUAGCUGGGGCCUGGCAGUUCUUAGUGAGCUGACCAAAGGUCUACCAAAGUUUUAAUAGUAAUGCUGAAGUCCCUUUGCCUGCCUCUGCCCCACCCAUCCCAAUCAUUGUUGGCAAGCAAGACUGUACUUUUGGAUGAAAGAAGAAAAAGGAUGAAUUUCCAUCAGUGCAUCACCUGGACUUGAGUCAGAUCUUCAGCUGAUGUUAAUCUGCAUGAUACCAUUGAAGGCAACUGCACCAUUUCCCCUUACCAUUCUAACAUGCCUCCUACGUUGGAGUUGCUACUCUCCACCGCUGGAGUGCAGUCAGAAUUCCAGUCUUCCACCAUGGUUCAGAAGCCUUGACAUUAGUUAGGAUGCUAGUUUCCUAUCUAUAGAACAGGACAAUGAGUUUUUCAAAGGAAAAUAAUAUUCACUUGUUUUAGUCAGAACUUUCUAAAAGAACAAAUACAUAGAGGGUACUAGACUAUUAAAGGAGUUAGUAUACUUUGACCCUAUGAAAGGUGUGACCCAGAGAACGCCUCAGUGCCAGAUGGCGAAGAGCACACUAUACUGUGACUCACAUCAUGCCUGACACACUCAUUGCCCCAACUCACUGUUGUCAUAAUCUGUAUCUAAAAAGUAAGGUAUUGUAUGUAAACACGCUGGUCAUUGAUACUGCAUGAUGUAUGUAUGGGCAGUAUAUAAAAAAUUAUAAAUGUGUGCUGGAAAUAUGUUUUUAAAAGGUGUUUGGCAUGCAGUGCAUAAGCCCAGCUGUCCUAAACCAAGGAGUGUUGUUUUGCCUGAUUGACUUUGUCUCCAACAUAAACUGAGCAAGGCAAGACCAGAAACAAUGGAACAUUUACACAGUACAUUUACACAGAAUGUAGACAAAGCCCUCAAGCUAUUAAGUGGAAGAAAUAAACACUUAAUGAUCAUGAUGGGGGUGGAGGCUGUUACCCCCAGGAAGCUUUCCUGGCUUUUGAAACAGAUGGACUUUGGAAAAUAUAAGCAGAAACAGAAAACUAUUUUGGCAUCCAUCACCUGAGGGACACAGCAGGUCAGAGCACUUGAAAUCUGAGAAAGCUGGAUCCUUCAACCAAGAGGGCUGAAGCCACUGGGAACUGACUGUAGGUGGAAAACCUUCUUAGACAAAGAUUGUUACUUCCUGAAGUUAGGUUUUAGUCACUAGAAAGUGUGUUGGUAACCUUUCAAUGUCUCUUACUCUUACUUGAAAUCACUCAAACCUAUGUUCCUUGUUAAACUUAUUAGUUUUGUAAUAAAAAAAAUUCUCAGUGCUGUUAUAUUGAAGUGAAGUGUAAGUCUUCAGCUAACCUAAUAGACUAUUGUCUGCUCUGUCUCUUUGGAGGCAGUGAACUUAAUAACUUCUGUGAGUGUCCAGUGAGAGGGACUGGAGACUGCAGGAAGACUUCUCUGGGGAACUUGGGAAAUAAGGUUCACUGUUACCUGUAAGGCAAAGUUUGGACUGGCAUAGUCCUGAAGAAUCAGCUGGCAAGGCAGACAAGCUGGUAUGCCAGGGCGCUGACAAAUAGUUUAGCAGCAGCACAGUUCACUCACACUGAGGUAUAGUGGUAACACACUGGCACACUGUUUUGGUUGACUUGAGCAAGACGUCACAAGUGGGACUCAGAAUUAAAAACAAAGACAUCAAAAUAAUCAAGGUGGGCCAUUUCCAGCAGUUGACAAGAACGUCUGAGGAACAGUUGGGGUGGAGGGGGAAUAAACAUGGGGAAAUAGUUCUACUUUCUGUAAUGACCCAUCCACUCCCAGUCUUUAUUCAAGCUUAAGUUAAUUGUAUCCAGUUUGCAAAUUAAUUCCAUUAUUCAGCAGUCGCGCGUUGGAGUCUGUUUUUUAAGUUUUUUUAUGGAAGAAUUGCCACUUUUAGGUCUGUAAUCAUUAAUUGUAAUUGUUCUUGUCAACUGCUGGAAAUGGCCCACCUUGAUUAUCACUACAAAAGGUCCGUCCCCCCUCCCCGCUCUCCUGCUGGUAAUAGCUCACCUUACCUGAUCACUCUCCUUACACCCAUUGUUUCAUGUUCUCUGUGUAUAUAAAUCUCCCCACUGUAUUUUCCACUGAAUGCAUCCAAUGAAGUGAGUUGUAGCUCAUGAAAGCUUAUGCUC